rnacentral:tRNA from 1 species
GGGCUCGUAGCUCAGUUGGUCAGAGCGCACGCCUGAUAAGCGUGAGGUCAGUGGUUCGAAUCCACUCGAGCCCACCA